GUUGGUCUCUAAGGUGCUGCUGGAAGGAAUAUUUUUAUUUUGUUUUUUCUCUGUUUGUACCGUUUAAAGUGAGAGGUGCUGGAUAAGCCUUGCUUCAACAGGAUACCCUCCGGAUGUUUUGGAAUAUAGGUAUAUCUUCAGCUCUUCCCUUCUGGAGUUCAAAACAUCUAGAGCAGGGGUCAGCAAACUUUUUCAGCAGGGGGUCAGUCCACUGUCCCUCAGACCUUGUGGGGGGCCGGACUAUAUUUUGAGAAAAAAUAUGAAUGAAUUCCUAUGCCCCACAAAUAACCCAGUGAUGCAUUUUAAAUAAAAGGACACAUUCUACUCAUGUAAAAACAUGCUCAUUCCCGGACCAUCCGCGGGCCAGAUUUAGAAGGCGAUUGGGCCGCAUCUGGCCCCCGGGCCUUAGUUUGGGGACCCCUGAUCUAGAGGGCUCCAGGUUGCUGAAGGCUCUGCUUAGGUCUUAGAUGAAGCAUCAGUGCAGGAAGUAACAGGUGGACUUAUAAUUUCUAUUGCUGCUUAAGAUGAAAGGAGGGAGCAAACUUUAAAGUGGGCAGUUUCUUGGCGGGUUCAAGGACUUGGAAGUGACCAGUUCCCUCCCCCCAAUAACAUCAGCCUGUUUUACUGCAGCGUGUGAGUAUGUGUCUGAAAAACAAAUGCAGAAUCAAACUUCAUAGAUUAACUGUCUGUUUUCUGAUAAAACAGUUGGUUGCUUUCAUGCUCUGGGGGAGAUUAUAAUUCUGGGUUUUGAGAAGCAGCCCCCCAGUAACAUAGCAGCUAUUCUGUGGCUGCUUGUAGUAUUCCAUCUUUCUGUUUUUCACCAGCUGCAGACCUUAACCUUUCUUCACGCUAUAUCUCUGCCUCACUUUUCAGCCAAGACUGGGGCCCAAAGCUCCUGACAAUUUAAACAUUUGCGGAACACAAAGUAUAAGUGAAGAUGUUUACAGAAGCCUCUUCUGCUUCCUGGUAGCUGAUGUUAUGGUACAAUUCUCAGACCCUUCUCUCUUGAUCAGCUUUCCCUGGCCCAUAUGUUUUGAACUACAGAUCCUAUCAGCUGUGUUGGCUGGGGCUGAAGGGAGUUUCCUAAAAUUUCUGGAAGGCACCAGGCUGGGAAGUCUGAUCCAGAGGAGCAUAAGUUGAUGAAAAAUAUACCAGCCAUAGAAUCAGCCUAUCCAUGGACCCGUGGAUCUGCCUUGUGCUGAGUCAGGCCAUUAAUACAUCUAGCUCAAUAUUGUGUUUGCUAACUGGAUGUAGUUUUCUAGAGAGGCUGGGAAAUGAACACUGCCGCUGUAUCACUGAUUUGGGGCCUCUUUCUCAUGGGCGAGUUCCAAGCUAUUCCCUCCGGAGGCAGAAGGAGCUGUUGAUGGACUUUAGUGAUUGGUUGGUGACCAGAAUACCAACCCAGAUGAGUAGAUCUUGUGAGUGAAUCACAGAGUCUUCUAGCAGUUGGUGGCAUUCUACAAGUUCCAGUUUAUUCCCUCCGUAGCUCCAGGAGGUGGAGAAUGGCUCAAGGCGAAAGUCCCAGUCUUCUUUCUGGUUGUCUUUGGAGUACACUAUGCUUGUAAAAAGCCAUGGACUCUGGGUGAUCAUGUAAAAAGAUUUUGGGUUUGUUUGGUGUAUGUUUCUAAGCAGAAGAAAGUUGAAUGUUCUGCUUUCAGGUUGUCAGUGCGGCACAAAUAAUCUAAAAUAGGUACACAUAGACAAAUAUUCAAAUAACAGGGUUUUUUCCUGGUAUAAAAGUGAUUUAUGGACCUGUUUGGAGUGCUGGAGUUGUCACGCAGAAAUAGUCUAUUUGGUGACAAGAAAAAGGCUGCAUGCUUAAUAUUUUUUUAAGUCAGCCAGUUGCCUAGAAAAAGAGGGUGGAGGGGCUGUUUUGCUCUUAAAUUUCACAUUUCAUGCUGCGUGUUUAACAAAGUGCAUUAAGGUUUGUUUGUAUUGCUGAUUAAAAAUUGCUGUUGCUGCAGUCUUUUUGGACGGCUCAGGUCUCCAACUCUUUAUUUCAGAUUUAAAAAGCAAAACAAAACACUGGCAAGCUGUUAAUAAGUUCACGGCAGGGGGAGAGAGGCUGCUUCAGGUAUUCCCCCCCCUCAUGUUGAUUAUGAAUAAUGAUUAAUUUACCAUUCUUGUUCUUGAUUGCAUGACAUCAGACAGAUGACAAAAUAGUUACUGUGGAUCCUGAAUGGCAUUUUGAGAAGGCCUUGGGGUUUUGCAUUGUGCAUGAGAUUUGCUGCUUUUAAGAAAGGAGGGGGCUCCCCCACUAUCUGUUCCCCUUAAUAAUAUGUGACAGGGGCAGAAGGAGGGGUGGAGGAAGAUGGAAAGGUAGAGCCCACUGGACUUAAGAGGUGCGAGGCAUAAGAGGUGCGAGGUUCAUGUCCCUACUGAGUGUGGCUGGGGGUCUGUUUCAGCAUUAGCUUCCUUGGAUUAAUGGUUCCAUUUAUUUGCAGGUUGCUUUUCUAUUGUGAACAGUAUUCAAUGUGGCUAACAAACGAAGCAGUAGUUUGGAAAUAGAGUGGCAGUAAGAUGGUUUGUGGACGCGGGUGGUGCUGUGGGUUAAACCACAGAGCCUAGGGCUUGCUGAUCAGGUCGGCAGUUUGAAUCCUGUGAUGGGGUGAGCUCCCAUUGUUGGGUCCCUGCUCCUCCCAACCUAGCAGUUCGAAAGCAUGUCAAAGUGCAAGUAGAUAAAUAGGUACCACUCCGGCGGAAAGGUAAACGGCGUUUCCAUGUGCUACUCUGGUUUGCCAGAAGCAGCUUAGUCAUGCUGGCCACCUGACCUGGAAGCCGUAUGCCGGCUCCCUCGGCCUAUAGAGCGAGAUGAGCGCCGCAGCCCGAGAGUCAGUCACGACAGGACCUAAUGGUCAGGGGUCCCUUUACCUUUAAGAUGCUUUGUAGGAGCACCUUCUCUGCUGCAGGUUCCCCAAAGGCCCCAAGUUUCAAUGCUUUUCAUCUCCAGUCAAAAACAUCUUGGUGGCUAGGAUGGGCCUGUGUGGAAGAGCUGCCAGUCAAAGUAGUCUUAUACUAAGCUAGAGGGACCUAUGGGUUAGAUCAGCAGAACAGAAGAAAGUACAGUGGUACCUCUACUUACGAAUUUAAUGCGUUCCGAACACACAUUCGUAAGUUGAAAAAAAUUGCAAGUCGAAUCCCAUAGGAAUGCAUUAGGAGAAAAAAUUCGUAAGUCAAAGCAACCCUAUCUAAAAAUUCGUAAGUAGAAAAAAUCCUUUCUAAACCGCAUCCAAGAUGGCGGACGGAGCUCCAUUCGUAAGUAGAGGUGCCACUGUACUCAUGGCAAGCCCGCCAAAAUGCCCAGGGUAUAAUAUUUCUAGCCAGCAGCUGAUGGGCUGCUGCAGCAUUGAGGGCCGUGAAGCAGGAAAUAUCUGCUGCAGAGGAAAGGUUGCAGCAUUUAAGGAGCUUUUAGUUCAGAGAGAAGGUGAGUAGGAGGUGACAAGAUAGAAGCUUACAGAAUUAUGCAUGGCAUGGAGAGAAAGGAUAAAGAAUUUUUUUCUCCAUCUCCCAUAGCACUGGAAUUCGUGGACAUCCAGUGAAGCAGAAAGUUGGAAGAUUCAGGACAGAUUUUUUAAAUGACUUAUUCAUGCAGCUCAUAGUUCAAUCAUGGAACUUUCUCUCACAGAAGGCAGUGAUGGCCACCAACCUGGAUGGCUUUAAAAGAGGAUUGGACAAAUUCAUGGAGCAUAAGGCUGGAUCAGUGAGUAUGCUCUGCCUCCACUGUUGGAAGCAGCAAUGCUUCUGAAUGCCAGCUGCUGGAAACCACAGGAAGGGAGACUUGCCGUCAUGGUCAGCGACUGUAAGAACAGGAGGCUGGACUAGAUGGGCCCCUCUUAUAUUCUUAGGAGCAAGUUUGGCUCUUCAGACCUCAAUACUAGUGCACCACUAAGUGUGGGGUCUUUAGCAAAGCAAACUGUCCAGUUUGGGGGACUUGCAUUUUGUCUCUCUCUUUUCCCAACCAUCCAAGGAUGAUUCCCCUUUCCCUUAAUUCUUUUAGUUCAAAAAAAGGAAAGAACAAGCUAUUUAAAUAACUCCUAUUCCACCCCCUGUUGAGGUUUGCUGUGCAUUACAAACGUCAGAGGCAGUUUUAAUUUGGCUAUUAUGUGAGGAGUAACAAGUAACCGAAGGGGUUAACUGUGUACUGUGUACCACCUGACCACUGAGGAAGAUCAUGUUACAGAAUGUGCCAGAAGUGUUUCUGUGUGUAUCAGUUGGUUUCGUUUUUGCCUGGGAGACGGUCGCAAGAUGUCUGCGCUCUCACCAGGUUGUUUGUUAUUUUCUCUUUAAAAUAAACUCCAGUAGUUAUUAGAACACCUUGGACUCUGUGUGUUCUUAAGAGGCUUUUUAUCCAACGGCUAUACAAGUUUCCGCUGUGUGUGAGAAGAAGAAGAACUCUGCUGUGUGUUUUACUGCCAGCCCGGGUCUACGGAGCAGAGGCGCUAGAGAAAGCGUGCCGGGCGAUAAUCAGUGGCUCCUAAUUGAGUCAUAAACAACUCAAAGGAGUCCUAUACCCGUCACAUAUUAUGUGUAACAUUCCAGACAUCAAACAAUCAAAAGUUUGCUGUCCAGCUUUGUAUUUUUUUAAAAAAUGUAUUUAUUAAAGGUUUUUUUAACAAACAACCAAAAACAUACAAAAAUAAAAACACAAAAAGAAAAUACAAAACACAAAAAAUACAAAAUACAAAAAGAAAAUACAAAACACAAAAAAUACAAAAUACAAAAACACAAAAACAAAAAUGCUAACUUAUAACCCUUAUUUCUAAUCUAUUGACUUCCUCAUUCCACCUCCUUCUGUGUUUCUUUACAUAUCAUCCUUAGUAAACUCUAAAUCUUAUAUAAACUCUAAUUAUUACUUUAAUAUUUCCUUAUUUCUCUAUCUUUUAUAUCUUAUCCUUUUACACUCUAUAUCUUACCUCUUAAUUAAAUUAUAAUUAUGUUCUAACAAUACUUUUUCACACCAUUGUAUUAUCUACAACCCUGUCCAGCUUUGUAUCUAAGUCUGGAGAGUGCCUCUGUGUGUGUGUGUGUGUGUGUGUGUGUGUGUGUGGUGCUACAGCCUCAGUUGCUGAAAGGUGGUCACUGCCUCUAACAAGCCCCAACUGGCUAGAGAGGCAUUGUCUGAUUAAAGUAUUGCGUAUUUUAUAAUGUUGCUCUCCCUAACAAUAAUCUCUAAGCAGUUUACCUAUGAGGUAUUGCAAAACCUUUAUUUGUCAAUUUACCUUGAAAUUAAGGGGGGGGGAAAUGUUGCACUGUAAUAACAUGCCAAUAUAAUACAGUCAUACUUCAGUUUAAGUACGCUUCGAUUUGAGUACUUUCAGUUUAAGUAAAGCAUGAUUUAUAAAAUUUAAAAAUAAGUUACAGAUGGGUGCAAGGAGCCCUACUUCUGUGUAGAAUUUUCAUACCUUUGUGGUAAGGGAGAGGGGUGUCUCCACAUCCUUCCUGUGUUCUGUCUUUCCCUUGGUGCAAGCAUUCUCUCUGUAUCUGCUUUCCAGAUUGCUGCAGUGCUGUUCCUUCCUGAAUCCUGUCUGACAACCUUGCUGGCUUGCAAACAACUGGUGGGAUCUGUGGCUUUCAAGAGGUUGCUAAACUACAGCUCCCAUCAGCCAGUGGCAGGGGCGGUGGGAGUUGUAGUUCAGCAACAACUGGAGGGCCAAAGCUUUCCCAUACCUGGGCCAUAAGCCUGAGAAGAGGCCACCCCCUGAGCACACCCAGUCAUGCCUCCCCAGCUUAGGCCACCUCUCUCCCUCUUUUUGCUUUCUCUUUCUCUCUCAGCUGAGGCAGCCUGGGGAAGUGUUUGUGCAUUCGAGGGGACUGUGAGGGUGGCCUUUGGAUUGCUUGUUGGCCCAGAUUGGGGUGCUUUCCUUAGACUCCUUAGCUUUUGCCAGGGUGGAUUUGAUUUAAAUCAAACUGAUUUAAAUCACUAUUUAAAUCACUAAUCUGUAAGGCUUGAUUUAAAUCAUAGUUUUCUACAUAAAGACUAAUUCUUGCUGGUAUAACUUUAAUAUGCAAGUAGAUGAAGAUUUUUAGAAUAACAACUUUUCAUAUUAGUUUUUUAUCCCCAGUUUAAUGGGUUAUUCAUAUUUGGACAACUUUACUGUUGUACUUAGGAAGGAGAAAAAUAAUCAUUACCUUAAUAAUAACAAUUUAAAUAGAUUUAUUCAACUGAAACAAUAACAUUACAGCAUAUGUUAUUUGCUUAAACAAACAUCCAUGUUUGUUAACUAAUUUGGCUAAACAAAAACAAAAUAUAUAUAUUUUAAGAAACUUAGACUGUCAGCCCAGCCUAAAUACUGUCCACUCCAAACAAUCAGAAAAAUAUUGUUUCUAUUCUAUUCACUAAACUUCUUGAAACUUAGCACUGAAGGGGUUGUUUCUGUAUUCAUAGGUUUAUAGAACAAUAGGAUUAAGGUCUAUUUCUCAACUCUGUUCAUGUUAUAACCUUUUUGCUAUGAAGAAGAGGCAUGUGAUCUCUGUUGAGUCAAAUUCAGUUUUGAGAACUGCAAAAGUAAACCAAGCAUCUGUGAUAAUAUCUUGUAGGCAGAGAAACUGCCCAAUAAUCUUACAAAAACCUCUGCAAGAGCAUGACAUUGUGAAUGGAUUAAUGGAAUUUAUUUACCCAAAAAAUUAAACAUAUACAACCUUAUUCUACAUAAUUAAAAAACUAAUCUUUAUUUCAUGAUGGAAUAACCUUUGGAUGGUAAUAUAUUUUCCUCAAAAUGCAUUUUAUUUUUUAAAAAAUCCAAUUUAAAUCAAAAAAAUCGAUUUAAAUCAAAAAAAUCCGAUUUAAAUAAAAAAACCCGAUUUUUUGAUUAUUAUUUUUUAAAUCAUUGAUUUUUAUCCACCCUGGCUUUUGCUCAGUUUAUGCAAACAGGGAAUGUAGCUCCUGUUAGUGCCUUCCCAUUUUGAACUCGGUGUAAUCAGUGAUGCGAUGCUGGUUACAAACCAUACCUUUGAUUACAGAAGAUGGAGAUGGAAGAAUGGCAGUGAGUGAGGUCUGCUCUAGAGUGCAACAACAGGUGGUCUGCACUACUACACCCUGCAGGUGGAGAGGCACAGUUUUUGAAUGCUCACCCACUGUAUGCAUGGCAGUGGGGAGGGGAGAGAACGCAUCAGGGAGAGAGAGGUUCUAGCUCACCCUGUUUCCUGAUGUGCUAGUUUUCUACUUGUCAAGAGUGUUUUACAUAAGAGAGAAUUAAAAAAUGUGAUUAUGUGUACCUGCAUUCUGAAGUGGUCUGUUCUAGUGUAUGUGUGGAGCAAAGGCAGACACCUUCCUUCCUUCCUUCCUUCCUUCCUUCCUUCCUUCCUUCCUUCCUUCCUUCCUUCCUUCCUUCCUUCCUUCUUCCUUCCUUCCUUCCUUCCUUCCUUCCUUUGGUGUAGCCAAUGUGAUUCCCUCCAGGUGUUCCUGUGAUCCUUGAGCACUGGCUAUGCUAGCUGGGACUUGUGGGAACACAGGAAGCUGCCUUCUGCUGAGCCAGACCAUUGGGGCAUCUCAUCUAGUUCAGCAUCAUUGACUCUCAGCAGGUCUCCAGGGUUUCAGGCAGGGCAACUCUCCCAACCCUACUUGGAGAUGCUGGGGAUUGAAUCCACAACCUUCUGCAUGCCAAGCAGGUGCUCAACCACUGAACUGUGGCCCUUCCUCUGAACUCCCUAUGGGAAUUGGAGCCCAACAUUUGGAGGGCAAUACAUUAGCUACCUCUUCAGCUAAUUACCACAAUUAAAAAAUUAUAAGAAAUGGAUGAAUAUUAGAAUAAAUGGGGCAUAAUAUUCUCAGGCCAGGUUCAGGAGGUGGUGGCAGGAGCUCCCUGGCCUGCUCAUCUACUGUCUUCUUCACUCUGCCAGUUGUGACAGCCCCUGUCCAAAGUCAGUUUUCAUUUUCAGUUCUGUCCUGAUAGUUGUUUAACUUCCACCUACUCAAUUAACUUAGAAUCAUAGAAUUGCAGAGUUGGAAAGCAAUGUAGGAAUCUCAACUAGAUGAGACAAAUGGCCAUUCAGCCUCCAUUUAGAGGCUAGGAGAGUCCACCAAGAGUCCACUACCUUUCCAUUGUCGAACAGCUCUUACUGACAGAAAGGUCUUCCUGAUGUUCAGUCAGAAUCUUCUUCCUUUUAACUUGGUUUAACUUUUCUUUUAACUUUUAACUUGGUUCGAGUCCAACCCUCCGGAGCAGGCGAAAACAAGCUUGCUCCAUCCUCCAUGUGACAGCCCUUGAUAUAUUUGAAAAUGGCUUGAACUUGAUUCCCUCCAGAUGUUGUUGGACUCCAGCUGCCAUCAGCCCCAGGCAGUGUGGUCAAGGAUGAUAGGAGAUGCUGCAGUCCAGCAAGAUCUGCAGGACACCCUUUUUUAAAGAUUCUCAUUUUUCACUUCCACUUUGCUGUUCAGAACUGGAAUCUCUGCUAAUUUUAGCUAUAGUAUUGGAGUGCAGUAAACAAAAUUGCUGCCUCAAAGCUCUUUAGGGAACUCCCCCCUCCCCCCACAAUUCUUCUUCCCUUCAACUGCUGGCUUUGUGGUGCUGCAGAGUCGAACCCUUUUAUUACAGGAUUUUUGUAGUGAGUGAGCAGCUCCUCCAGGCCCUCAAAUGCAGCCAUCUGCAGUUCAGUCAACCUGCCAGUUCCUAAGACUGCUCAGGAACACCUGCCCCACAACAGUCUCAUUGAGGGUGCAGAGGGUGCGUUUUGUUGUCUUAAAUCUGUGUUUUAGACAGAGAUACAUUAUGUAAAAUUUUUAACACCUUUGGCAAAGCACUUUGACAGAGAUAAUUUCUUGCAAAAUGUCAGGGUUGCCCUUAAUACAAUAUCACUUAGGAUCGGUGUAGUGGUUAGACUAGAGUGUCUGGCUAGGAGCUGGGAGACCAAAGUUCAAGUCCCCACUCUGCCACGAAACUCACUGGGUGGCCUUGGACCAGUCACUGCCUCUUAGUUACUAGCCGACCUCACAAGCUUGUUGUGGGGAUUAAAUAAGAAAGCAGGAAAGGUAUGCACACCACAUUCUCCUUGAAUAAAAUGGUAUGAUGCGAAUUUCUGUUCCUCUCCAAAUGUAUUGCUUGCCCAUCUUAACAUGCACACGUGAUUCUAUUCAUAGCCAGGUCCCAUAAAUAUGAUAAACUGUUUUUUAUAUAAAUAUUUCCAAUAUCUUUUUGCAAAUUAACAUUUUUGCUGCUGCAAAAUAACUACAGUAUGCCUCUUUCCUUUGAAGCGUGUUGCCUCCAAAUAUGUUAAUAGCCUGUUCUUAGAUUGCAAAUAUGUUGGGAAAGCCUCUCUAACUUUCAGUAUAUUUCUUAAUUGUGCACAAGAUCUAUAACUAAUACUCUUCCCCCUUCCUCCAGCCUUCUAAUGUAAGUCCACCAGCUGGGAAUAAAGUUGCCUGUCUCCUAACUGCACUUCCAACAUUCUUUGGUGCUGCUGCUGUAAAUAAGUCUGCUUCCUGUAUUUAGACAGAGAAGCAGCUACAUAGAGGUGGAUGCGGGGGGGGGGGGAUGACUUUUUAAAGAAAUGACCCUGAUGCAGCCUUCCUCAACCUGGUGGCCUCCAGAUGUUUGGAGCCUUCAACUCCCCAUCAGUCUUACUCAGCAUAACCAUGGGGAAGACAAUAAAUCAUUCUGAAGAACAGCCACUCUUCUCAUCAUCCACCUUGCCCAGUAUCCUAUUUCCAUUAGUGCCCAUCUCCAAAUGCUUUAGAGCAGCCUUCACCAACCUGCUGCCCUCCAGAGGUUUUGGACUGCAGUGCCCAUCAGCCCCUGCCAACAGUGGCAGUUGUAGUCUGGAGGGUGCCAGAUCAGCAAAGGCUAGAUCUUCUGCUGCUUGAUUCCUGUUGAAAAGGAGCUUGCAGCAGGAGAGAUGGGGAGUGGGUUCUAAAGGUUCUCUUAGCUGUUUUCUGGUGAGCUUCCUGCCUCAUGUUUUCCAAACAUACACAGCAUAGGGACAUGUCAUGUCAGAAGUGACACGUGUGUGCAUUUACACAGAGACACACACACACAGACACAGUUGGUCUUUCAAAACUUAGAACAUGAGAACAUAACCCUUCUUAUCAAACAGGUUUCCCUGCCCACCCCCUUCACCCAAACCACAGAUCCCUAAGGGAAGACAUGGUUCCAGAGUUUCAGAUGUGAGUCUGGUGGAGGCCACUCUAAUUGACCUUUCACAGCCUUUGGCAACCAGGUCCACUGACCCUGUGCAAGGUUUGAAUGCCUUGCUGCAGCUUCAGGACUGUGAUCCUACCAAGAAUUGUGUCAAAUUGUGUGUUCCCACUACUCCCCGAGUCCCUCCAGAACUGAGGGAGGAAGGAAAGUAUGGCUGGCUGCAGAAAAUGAAGGAGCUGCAGGGGAUUUGGCAUAUCUGGCCUGGGCGGUGACUGCUGCUCUCGAUGUUUGUCCAGGGAAGGGCCUUAGCUCUGUGGUAGAGCACAGGCUUUGCAUGCAGAAAUCUCCAGAUCCGAUCCUUGGCAUUGACUGCAGCUUAAGAAAAGGAAAGGGAGAUGUGUGAUCCUCUGUCUGAGACGAGAGAGGAGCAGAUGAGUCUUCUUUCCCAUCCAAGUCACUCCUGUGCAUGUUCUUUCAUCACUCUUGUCUCGUCCCACUUCUGUUUCUAUUUGAGAUU